CAAUGUGUGAUACCUCAGUUGAGUAGCAAAGGGGCAGGCCAGGAACAAGUGGUCUCUGGUCUCCAAUGUUUGUUGACACAUGACACAGUAGCCAUCCACAGUCGAGUUCCAUUUGAUCAACCUCUCUUUAGUAGGAAGUCAGUCUUGUAGAAGCAGCCAAAGGUUGAAGAGUGCUUUAGGUCGAGCAGAAUUCUGUAUGGUUAAAGUUUCCAUCCACAAUCGAGUUCCAUUUGAUCAACCUCUCUUUAGUAGGAAGUCUGUCUUGUAGAAGCAGCCAAAGGUUGAAGAGUGCUUUAGUUCGAGCAGAAUUCUGUAUGGUUAAGUUCUUCCAAGAGACUCUAUGUAACUGUCCAAUCUGUUGAAGAUAAAUCAUUCUGAUAGAGCAUGCAUGCUUAUGCAACAGUUGGUAUUGCUGCAAUAGAAUAGUACCUUCAAUGAUCUUCCGGACCAUCCAACUGGCUUGUUUAGGAAUAUUCAUGGACUCUAAUUGUUGUUGCUUGAUAUAGACUGUGUGAAUCUAUUCCACCCAUAAUACAUCCUUCUUGGGAGCCAAAUCCCAGCUUAGUUUUGCAACAGCAGCUUUGUUCCACUUUAGGAGAUUGGUUAAGCAUAAAUCUCCAGCACACUUUGGUAGACAGAUCUUUUCCCAGGCCACAUAUGCUUUCCUUGUUAUAUUAACUGAGCCAGACCAUAUGUAGGAUCUGCACACUGCUUCUAACAGUUUUAUAACUUUGGAAGGAAUGAGAAACAGUUGAGCCCAAUAAGCUUGAAUACCAAAGAUUACUGAUUGCACCAAUCAGUUUAUUUUUUUCGUUAUCACAGCACUCCUCAAGUUUGAUAAAGUUACUGAUACUGACUUUGCCGGUACGAAUUAUUAUAUCUUCAUCACCUUAUAUUUUUGUUUCUUUGAAUUUUCUCUUUCAAGUUCAUGAAAUUUUACCUUAUCCACCGUUGAAAAGAAUAUAAUACGUAGAAUUUAUUGAAAUUUAAGGAAAGGUUCAGUUUCGGCUUAAACUUUGGUGGCUUGGGAAUACAUGUUGUUUCAUUCUUGUACAAAUUUCUGGUAUUGUUUUGCUCUUUUUUCUCCUUUGUUUUGGGUUGAGAGGAGGUGUGGAAUGGGGCUAUUCUUUUGAGAUUUGGAAAGUGCUCUUUUAUCAGUGUUGUUAAUCUGACACUUUUUAUCAUACACGAUAAUCUUUUUUUAAUUACUGGAACAGGGAAGCUGAGUCUUUCUAAAUACAAUUUCUCAGAGAUGUCAAUCAAUUCUUUUAGACGUGUGCUUCAAUGAUAGUAUGUAACUUUAUGCCCCAGUAAACUCUCUCUCUCUCACACACACCGCGCAAGUGCAUUAGCUUUCUUAUUCUAUUUUAGUGAUUAUUGGACUGAUUCAGACUCGAUUUUCCUAUUUAUAGGCGCCAUGAGUUCACUUAUACUUCACAAGUUGCCUCUUAAAACAGUGGGAUAGUCUAUGUUGGCCUUAGAAUCAUGGCAAAGUUAUCAUUAUUUGGGAUAAAUUUUAAAUACCUACUACACUAAUAGAGUCUCGUGGCCUAUCUUCUUUACGUACCUUAACCAAUCCAUUCAUCGUGCACCAUGGUAGUAUUUUCCAUUGGAGCACCUCCAUUAUGAAUACCAUUCUGUUUGACUUAAACUUUGUUUAUGCUUAUAUUAUUCCCCUUCUUUUUAUUUUGGGGN
rnacentral:lncRNA from 1 species